rnacentral:tRNA from 4 species
GGCGGCAUGGCCAAGUGGUAAGGCAGAGGUCUGCAACACCUUUAUCCCCAGUUCGAAUCUGGGUGCCGCCUCCA